rnacentral:rRNA from 1 species
UUGAUCCUGGCUCAGAUUGAACGCUGGCGGCAGGCCUAACACAUGCAAGUCGAGCGGUAGAGAGGUGCUUGCACCUCUUGAGAGCGGCGGACGGGUGAGUAAUGCCUAGGAAUCUGCCUGGUAGUGGGGGAUAACGCUCGGAAACGGACGCUAAUACCGCAUACGUCCUACGGGAGAAAGCAGGGGACCUUCGGGCCUUGCGCUAUCAGAUGAGCCUAGGUCGGAUUAGCUAGUUGGUGAGGUAAUGGCUCACCAAGGCGACGAUCCGUAACUGGUCUGAGAGGAUGAUCAGUCACACUGGAACUGAGACACGGUCCAGACUCCUACGGGAGGCAGCAGUGGGGAAUAUUGGACAAUGGGGCGAAAGCCUGAUCCAGCCAUGCCGCGUGUGUGAAGAAGGUCUUCGGAUUGUAAAGCACUUUAAGUUGGGAGGGAAGGGCAUUAACCUAAUACGUUGGUGUCUUGACGUUACCGACAGAAUAGU